GAUGAAGACGCAGCGAAAUGCGAUAGGUAGUGUGAAUUGCAGAUGUAACGUGAAUCAUCGAAUCUUUGAACGCAAAUUGCACUCUCUGGUAUUCCGGGGAGUAUGCCUGUUUGAGGGUCGCCAAAUCAACAUCGAAAUUCAUUUGCUUUUGUAAAUGUUUAUCGGAUUUGAGCCGUCUUUUAUUUUUUUAAUUAAAGUGGCUUAAAAUGUAUUUUUUGGUAUCGAAAAACGUUAUUUUACGAUCAAAUUGAUUAAAAAAACAAACGUUUCGAAUGCCGUCUUUUAAUGUAAUACGCUUGACUGUGGUGUUAAUCAUAGUUUCAUUCGUAUACGAUUUUUUAAUUUUUGACCUCAAAUCAGGUAAGAACACCCGCUGAACUUAAGCAUAUCAAUAAGCGGAGGA
rnacentral:misc_RNA from 1 species